rnacentral:lncRNA from 1 species
CCGCGCGCAGUCCCUAGCGCAACAUGCAGGAUCUUCCCGGCCUGACUGCUGCACCUCGAUCGAAAAAACUAAGAAACUCAAGAGGAGUCAUCAGAAUUCCUGCCAUGUGGGAGUCAUCAACCCAAUGGGUGACUUCUUUUCUGCUCCACAUAUAAGAGGAUUACUUAGACCGAGCCAGGACAAUGAGAUUCAAUCCUGAAAUUUUUUUCAAACUUGGAAAGAGGAUCUCUUUUCCAUGGGAUUGAAAAUAGAGCUCCUGAGAACCUGCCUGAUGGAGAGUGCAACAUAGAGAAAAGCAGAACGAAGACACAGAGAGAAGGAGUUCCAUUUUGACUUCUAGAUCCAACCUUGCCUGCAGCUGAGCUUGUUCACUGAAUGGAGUCUCACUUUGUCACCCAGGCUGUAGUACAGUGGCGUGAUCUUGGCUCACUGCAACCUCCGCCUCCUGGGUUCAAGCAAUUCUCCUGCCUCAGCCUCCCAAGUAGCUUGGAUUACAGGCAUGCACCACCACACCCGGCUAAUUUUUGUAUUUUUAGUAGAGACGAGGUUUCGCCAUGUUUGCCAGGCUGGUCUUGAACUCCUGACCUCAGGUGAUCACCCACCUCAGCCUCCCAAAGUGCUAGGAUUACAGGUGUGAGCCACUGCACCCAGCCACAAUGCAACUUUUAAAAAAUGAAAUAAUUAUUAGCUUUUCUGGAAAAGCUUUAUCUCUUUUAACCUAUGAAAAGUAUUAAUAUUUGUCAUAAAAAAAGCUUUUGCAUUUUUUAGAAGAAACAGUGCUUCAUUUCUAUUAUAAAAGGAAAUUGUAGAAUAUUGUGAGACUCACCUGUGAAUGCUAUUUAUAUAGACACUAUAAUUUUAACACUGUAUAUGAAUAGAACCAAAGAAGAUUAAAUGAUUGUGCAUUUGUGUAGGGUGUAUUUGAGUUGGGGGACGGAGACUGGUUGGGGUUUGAGGAGUGGUUAAGAAAACUAAAUCUUAUCUUCAAUAGUAGGAAGUCAAUAGAUAAUAUUCAAAACUGAAAAAGAAAAACAAAACUUAAAUAGCAGAAAAAUCUGCUUAUUUGAAAAUAUGGAUGUAAAUACCAGUAAAAACUGCUUAAACUGUUGGAAAUUUUUUACUUUGGAAAUGGGAAUCAGAAGCUAGAAAGUGCAAAGCUGUAGAUUGCUGUUAUAAGCUAGUAGAACUCAGCAUAAAGUGAAUAUGUAUGACUUUGACAAAAAUAAAAAUAAAAAUUUUAAAUAAGAACUAUUUUUCAAUUUUUUCUCAAAUUACAUUAUUGUUUUUUAUUAGAAUUGAAUUGAGUUUAUAGAAAGAUAAUUUAAGGAGAACUGACAUCUUUCUAAUUCUGAGUAUUUUCCUCUAGAAACAUGGUUGAGACUUCUUUUCUAUUCUCAAAAAAAGUUUAUCAUUUUCUUGUUAUAAGUCCUGUGAAUUUUCUGUUAUUUUUGCCUGGGCCUGCUAUAUCAUUUUUGCUAUUAUAAUGACAUCCUUUUCCAUUAUAUACAUAUGAUAACUGGCUGUUUCUAGUGUGCAGGAAAGCUCUAUAUUUUUCUUGUAACUUGACACCUGACCAAAUGCCUCUCUCUAUCUCCUAAUACUUUUUCAACUCAUUAUCUUCAGUUUUCUAUGUAGAGAAUCAUAUAAAUGUAUAAAUAACUAUAAUUGUGUAUUAUAAUUUUCUUUUCCAAUGUAUAUGACAUUUCUUUUAUAUAGCCUAUUGCAUUGGUUAGUACUUAUUAAACACAGCUUUAAUAAUCAUAAUAAUUGAUUGUAUUGCUUCCAACUUGAAUAGGAAUACUCCUGGUUUUCCCUAACAUGAAUAUUAUUUUCUAUUGCUAUCAGAUAGAAGCUUGAUUAUCUAUUUCUUUCAUAUCUAGGACUUCCCCUAUCUAAACACUCCUUCAUACUUUAUCAUAUUUGUAUUUGCCUCUAUACCAGAAUUUAGAAUAAUCCCUGGCUCAAUAAAUUUUUUUUAAACAAAUAGAUCAAUA